rnacentral:rRNA from 1 species
UACGUAGGGGGCAAGCGUUGUCCGGAUUUAUUGGGCGUAAAGAGCGUGUAGGCGGCUUUACAGGUCCGUUGUGAAAACUCGAGGCUCAACCUCGAGACGCCGGUGGAAACCGUAAAGCUAGAGUCCGGAAGAGGAGAGUGGAAUUCCUGGUGUAGCGGUGAAAUGCGCAGAUAUCGAGAGGAACACCUGUGGCGAAGGCGGCCUUCUGGACGGUGACUGACGCUGAGACGCGAAAGCGUGGGGAGCAAACAGG